CGUAGACCCGAAACCGGGUGAUCUACCCCUGUCCAGGGUGAAGGUGCGGUAACACGCACUGGAGGCCCGAACCCACGCAUGUUGAAAAAUGCGGGGAUGAGGUGGGGGUAGCGGAGAAAUUCCAAUCGAACCCGGAGAUAGCUGGUUCUCCCCGAAAUAGCUUUAGGGCUAGCCUCGGAAAGAAGAAUCGUGGAGGUAGAGCACUGAUUGGGUGCGGGGCCCGCAAGGGUUACCAAGCUCAGUCAAACUCCGAAUGCCAUAGAUUUAGUUCCGGGAGUCAGACAGUGAGUGCUAAGAUCCAUUGUCGAAAGGGAAACAGCCCAGACCAUCAGCUAAGGUCCCCAAGUGUGUGUUAAGUGGGAAAGGAUGUGGAGUUGCACAGACAACCAGGAUGUUGGCUUAGAAGCAGCCACCAUUGAAAGAGUGCGUAAUAGCUCACUGGUCGAGUGACUCUGCGCCGAAAAUGUAACGGGGCUAAACACACCACCGAAGCUAUGGCUUGAUGCUUUGCAUCAGGGGUAGGGGAGCGUUGAAUGCGGGUUGAAGGUGUACCGGAAGGAGCGCUGGACUGCAUUCAAGUGAGAAUGCCGGUAUGAGUAACGAAAAGAUCUGUGAGAAUCAGAUCCGCCGAAAGCCUAAGGGUUCCUGAGGAAGGUUCGUCCGCUCAGGGUAAGUCGGGACCUAAGGCGAGGCCGAUAGGCGUAGUCGAAGGACAACAGGUGGAAAUUCCUGUACCACCGUAAUCCGUUAUGAGCGAUGGGGUGACGCAGUAGGGUAGUGACGCGGACUGAUGGAUGUCCGUCUAAGCAGUGAGGCUG
rnacentral:rRNA from 1 species